AGGGACCGAUGACACGUGCGGCUUCUUCCCCGUCGCCCGUGACCUCUCGGUAGUCAAGAGCCGCACCUCGCGACUAGGCUGGCAGCGGCGGACGCCUCCCUCACUGGCCGGCACUUCUAUUCUACUCUGGCCAGCACCGCGCCCCACUCUCGGUCCUCGGCGAGGGCCUCCGUCUUCUUCUCCCAAUCGGCGGUCGGCUAGGGUUUCGGCCGGCUGCGGCCGCGUUCGGCAUAGGCUCCCCCGUUGGCCGUGCCUCCCCCUCCCAUGCUGCGCCCGACCCCUGUCUCCCUCCAUGAACAACGCCUUCCUCUCCUGCUCCCAGUCCACCCGGUGGCAAGGGUUCCUUCCGUUGGCCGAAAUCACCGUUGGUUCAUGUGCUUCAUCUGAGUUCCUUCCUUGAUUGUUUUUGCCUGGAGGAGAUGGGGAAGAGGGUGGCGAGGACGGUGUGGGUGCAGAACAUCUCAAAUCUGCAACUAAGAGGGAGGUGCGCAAGUUCUUCUCCUUUUCCAGCAAAAUCAAGGACGUCCAAUUAGAUUGUGAUACAGUGGCAUCAGGGAGGAAUGCCUACGUCACAUUUAAAGAUCCAAUGCUCUCGAGAUUGCGCUUCUCUUGUCGGUAUGGAAUUGUGCAUCAACUGGUUUGACGUGAUGAGGGGAUUUUUUUUCUGUUUAUAUUGUUCUGGCAUUUGUAGAAUUCAUAUUCUAUUCUAGAUGUGUUGUGUGGACGACUAUUAUUAUGUAAACUAGGUAUAUACACCUGUUAUGCUUGGGGUCAUGCAGCAUGCUGGUGCCACUAUAAUUAAGCCAAGAUUUUUGU